GUCUACAGCCAUGCCAUCCUGAACGUGCCUGAUCUUAGAAGCUAAGCAGGGUCGGGCCUGGUUAGUAUUUGGAUGGGAGACUAACAUAAUUAGUGAUUGAGCUC
ensembl:rRNA 5S_rRNA 5S ribosomal RNA